UGGUGGCUCAGCUAAUUUAUAUCUUUAGUGGGACGUGUGACCAAGCGUGGUCUAUAUAUUCAUGAAAGGCAUUUCAGAAUAUAUGGGUUUGGUUAGGUUGUCACUCGCCUCUGCUAUCAUGCUCUGCUUAGAAACAUGGUAGUUAUAGCAUUGGUAUUGUUCACUGGAUGUUUAAAGGAUGCUGAAAUUGCUGUGGAUGCACUCUCCAAUUGGUAAGGAAUGCAAACAUUGUUUAAAUUGAUCAAUUUCACAGGAAGCAGAAUCAAGUCACAUGCUAAGUAAGGGAGGUCAUUAUUGGAGUAAGAGGAUAUCAUUUUUAUGGUAGAAAGAAUAACCUGUAUACGCGGACUACCCGAUACAUGGUGAAAUUCUUCUAUUAUUCCAUUCUUUAUUAUUCUGUUGGAACAUCCUGUCGGUGCUAAUUUCGCCUGACCUAGUUCCGUUAUUAUUAUUCUGUUGGAAUAUCCUGUCUAUGUGUUUUACACCGGACCUGGUUCCGUCUUUAUUCUUCUGUUGGAAUAUCCUGUCUGUGUGUUUUACACCGGACCUAGUUCCGUCUUUAUUAUUCUGUUAGAAUAACCUGUAUACGUGGAUUACCGUAUACCUGGUGAUUUCUGUUGUUAUUCCAUUAUUUAUUAUUCUGUUGGAACAUCCUGUCGGUGUGAAUUUCACCUGACCUGGUUCCAUUAUUUAUUAUUCUGUUGAAAUAACUUGUCUAUGUGGGUUAUUGAAUUAUUAGGUCAUUGUCAAUGUUCUCAUGUUUAUAUUAUGUUGAAAGUCAUCUGUGGCCUGUAGUACAUAGAUGGACUUGGUAUGAUUAUGACCACGUUUAUUCGGUAUAAUCAUGACCGUAAUGUGACGAAUGAUGUGGUAAAAAUCCUCAUUUGCCAUAGUGCAUUGAUGGACAUUUUUUGGUAUGAUUAUGGCUAUGGAUUCUCUUCGGCCAAGGGUACAAAGAUGAAUUGUUUUAUAGCAUGAUCAGAACCGUUGAUGAAAACACGAUUAUCUUUGGCCCGUAUAGCAUGGAUAAUUCGUAGUCGUGAUACUAAAGAAUAUCCUUGGCCUGUAGUGCAGGGAUGAUUUAAUGAUGUGGAUUAAUUAUUGAACUGAGUCCCAGCGAUGAAAUAUUAAUUCAUAGAUGUGAUAGUAAUGAAUAUCCUUGGCCGUAGGGCAUGGAUAAUUCAUGGAUGUUAUAUUAACGAAUAUCCUUGGCCGUAGUGCAGGGGUGAUUCGAUGAUGUGAAUUAUUUAUUAAGUUGAGUCUCAGCAUUGUUGGUUUUACAGUUGUAUACCUUUGGCUGUAGUACAAAGAUGAAUUUAAUUAGUAUGAUUAUUAGCGGGAAUUGUGAUUUGGUAUAACCAUGAUUUUUGAUAUUUCAGUUGAAGAUAGGUGAUUAAAAUUAUCUUCGUCCUGGGUACGAAAUGGAAUUUAGAAUCACAAUUAUGAUUAUGAGUUAUUCAUACAGUUGUGGACAAGAAUUGUUGAUUGAUGUUACAGGGAUAAAAUAAUAUCGGUGGACUUUUAACAUAGAGAAGAUAAUGGAUCUGACGGUCUAUUUGACUCUUCUAAUGGAUUGCUCGUUCCGCUGCAACUAUGGUUGAAAUUAAAGUUUUAUCAUCUACCAUAUGUUAUAAAUCUCUGAUUUAUUAUUAAUGAAAGCUAUUGAUAAUGUAGUUAUCUUUAGUCAUGAUAUUCUUUACUGAGCUUGUUGUGCUCACCCUUUUGCUUCACAAUUCCUUCUAGGUAAUAAGAGUGUAGCUGGGUCGAGCGGGGAUAACAAGGAAAAGGAGUGACGGUCCAGAUGAUAGCAUUAGUAGUUCUCACUAUUCUGAUUAAGUAGUGUGAUAAUAAAUGUAACGAGGACUCUAUUUGAGAAUGGAUAUUGUCUAGAAGGCAAUAUUCCUGUUUAAAAUCGCAGUUAUGUUUUGUCGUAUUUUACACGACAGUUGUAUAAUAAAGUUUUUUUAUAUGUAUUUAUACCAUGUAUUUGGCGACUCAAAAUGGGUGAUGAAUACCUAAUUUUGGGGGCGUCACAUUUGGCAUCAGAGCUUAGGGAUAUGGUCGCUGGCAGAGAUAAAAGUCUAGAACUAGGAGGGGAGAGAUGAGUUAUAUACUUCGCUAGUGUGUGACUUACCUAAGCUGAAAUUAUUUACUUGAUAAGUUGACAAUUUGUGAUAUGUCAAUUAACCUUUGUUUUGAAGGUAUAUUUUAGAAUGAUAUCUGAAAUACAGGAGAUGAGCAAUAGGGAAAAUUAUGAUACAGAGGAUAUAACCAGGAAGGUACAAUCCAAAAAGAAAGCAAGGUAUUCUCAUCUCUUCGAAUUACCAGGUACGUAAAUUUCGAGGGCGAAAUUCCAUAAGGAGGGGAGAUUGUGAGACCCCGAAUUUUUAUGAAAUAAAAAUUAUUCAAUUUUCUAUUUUUAUGAAUAAUUAAAUUGAUAAAGGUUUAAAUUUAAAGGUAUAUUUGAAAAUUUUUAUUUAUUUAUUUAUUUUUUCUCUUAGGUAUGUUCAUAAAGAUUUUAUAUUAAAAUAUCAAAUCACAUGGGUUAUAAUUUGCGUAAUUUGCGUACAAGUCUCUAUAACCUCUUUCAAUCAACUGUUAUCAAAGUAGCAUGUAAGAAAAGAGGAGACAAACGCAUGGGGGGAAAAAGGAAAUAAAAAGAAGAAGAAUGAUGGGAGUCCGGCAUUCAUUCAUGGAUAUUUAUUCUCUAGCAUGGCAAGACUCUUUUUGAUUCUCUCUCUCUUUCUGUUCCUCUAAAUUGCAAUUUCAGAAAUUCUUGGUUUCCAUAUCCUUAUUGUUCUCGAUUCUGUUCACCACCAACAUAAUCUAAACGCUGCAACGAGCUGUUGACAACUUCCUAGCUGUUACCAAAGAGUCGGUGAAAACGAUCACUUAUGAAUCUUUGAACAAUAUCGUAAGGCUUAUAAAUGGAGUGUCAAGGCUCUUGUUGACCAUUAUGCUGGGGAAGGCUUCUGUACUCGAAGGGUUGCAUGGUUGGAAACUCAGACCAACUUUUCGUGAACGUCGGCUUCCACGCUGGAUGGAGAAAUGGCUGGCGGUUGCCAUAGUUUUACUUGGAGACUAUUGAAAUCACCUGGUGUAUCUCAAAGAAGGCAAACUAAACAGCGAACUCCCGCACCUAGUAAUUCUUGCACAUCAUCUUUCGUGGCCGUUGCCGAUGAUAUCGCCCCAAUCACCGGAAUAUAAGAUUUUUACAGAAUUCAUGGUGAAGUCCCGCCGGUGAACACUCUGUCAUAGCCGGUUUGUUUUCUUUGGAGUCAUGGUAGGGAUGGGUUUUGUUAUAAACUAUUCCUUUCUCAUGGUUGGUUUUGACCUGCUGUAUUCUGCUUCAUCAUUUCAAGCAACGAAGUUGGACCAUGAAGUUCUAGCCAAAACUAGGAACGCAUUGUUCUUCCGUUGUUGGCCAGUGCAUGGAUUACGACCGGGUCUGACCCAAGACGAGUUCGACGAGUUAAACAGAUUCAUCUCCGAGUUCUACACGUACCAACUCUUUCCACUCCCGCGACUCCUCCAUCAGGUACUCCGGCUAACGGAAACUGGUUCAAUUCCAUUAAAAAUAGCUGACAUAUAGAUACUAGAAGUUCUAGACAUUCGGAACAAUACACUCUCUGGCGGAGUCCCUCUAGCUUUAAAAAGACUCAAUGAAGGAUUCCAGUAUGCAGACAACCGAGGUUUAUGUGGAGUUGAGUUUUCUUCCGUGAAAGAUUGCAAAGCUUCUGAUUAUUUUGUAAACCCGAAGAGGCCUGAACCAUUUGGGCCAGGCUUAAAUGGCCGUGCUUCAAAAGAUAUCUCUGAGUCUGCUAAUAUCAAACCAGAUUGCACGCAGAAUCAUUGCUCAAACUUUCAUAUUUACAUGUACCUGCAAGACUGAACAAGGGGCCCCAACACCACAGUAGUCCCCAUCUCUGGAAUCCAUGGUAAGGCUUGGACCUCCUUCAGCUUUGGGACUGUAUAUUGCACUGACGAUCCAAUCACUGAAGGACUGGAAGAGAGUUUGGCCAAAUCGGACGAGCUCAGGGCAUUUUUGUGAUCUCAUCGUUGGAUGGGUCAAUGGCACAAGUGUUGCUAUCACUUGUGGGUACAAAUGAGGAGUACCGUGGGAGCACUGGUCCUCAACUUGUCCUGGUGGUUCAUAGUGGUGGCUCAGCUAAUUUAUAUCUUUAGUGGGACGUGUGACCAAGCGUGGUCUAUAUAUUCAUGAAAGGCAUUUCAGAAUAUAUGGGUUUGGUUAGGUUGUCCCUCGCCUCUGCUAUCAUGCUCUGCUUAGAAACAUGGUAGUUAUAGCAUUGGUAUUGUUCACUAGAUAUUUAAAGGAUGCUGAAAUUGCUGUGGAUGCACUCUCCAAUUGGUAAGGAAUGCAAAUAUUGUUUAAAUUGAUCAAUUUCACAUGCUAAGUAAGGGAGGUCAUUAUUGGAGUAAGAGGAUAUCAUUUUUAUGGUAGAAAGAAUAACCUGUAUACGCGGACUACCCGAUACAUGGUGAAAUUCUUCUAUUAUUCCAUUCUUUAUUAUUCUGUUGGAACAUCCUGUC
rnacentral:lncRNA from 1 species